rnacentral:lncRNA from 1 species
AAAAUGUUUGGAAACUAGAUUAAUACCAAAGCCGUCCAAGGAUUUAAAAGACAACAGACUGCUUCAUACUACUGCAGUAGCAAACUAGCAAUAUAACGACCAAACUGAAAACAUGAUAACACCAAACCAAAAGAGAAAAACAACACAUUCAUACGUCCACCUUUCGAGUUACGUUCAGUACCAAAGUGCAAAGCAUAGAGCUAACUAAGAGGUGAGAUUACCUUCAACCACAUUCAAACGCAGAGCUGGUCCUCUCUCAUCCCACACAGGCUCCCCAAACACCGCCCCAGUUCGGUCGUGGAACGUGCAUUUCUUUGGUUCCAUUCUUGCUGAAUACCCUCUUGCGGUCAACUCAUCAAGACUCAGCACGUUUUCCUUCAACCCAGGAACGAAAAGCACGUUCUUCAUCGUCUUCUUCUUCCCAUCCUUCAUCACAAUCUUCACAUCUCCUCUUCCUUCCACCCUGAGAACUUUUCCGUCUGAUAACCCAACAUACGCUUUAUGCGUUCUGUCCAAACCAGAGAAGUACUUGUCGUUUGGAGUCAUAUGGUUCGUGGUACCACAGGGGUGUACCAUCCACACAUCCUCAUCACAAGUGCCAUCACCUAAAGCUUCAUCUGCGUGCAUCAAGUACUCAACUUCAACUUCCUCCACUUGCUGCUCCUGAUUCUUUCUCUUGCAGUCUCUCGCAAAGUGCCCUCGUUCUCCACACUGAAAGCACUUACCACGCCUCGAACUCCCGUUUCUAGGGUUGUAAUAACAAUCCUCCUCGUUGUGGUUCCUCUUCUUGCACACGCCACACCACUUGCCACGCGUCGAGUCAAGACUCAUACCCUUCAUCAUCAGAAGGCAAACCUCCUCGGAUACAGAAUCAUAAAACUCGAAAAAAUCAGGAAGACUUUCAAGAGACAUGUUCUCCAUAAUCUCCGCGUUCUCUUCCAAACACGGAGCUGAGAUCUUAUACGGCAUCUUGAGCGAACUCAGCACCUUCUUGUUAACCUCGUACUUGGAUUUCACUCUGUUCAAACGACGCAUCUCUUCGAGGAUCACCGUUACUCUACCUACGUAGGAUUCAAUCGUCUCUCCUUCCUUCAUGCUGAGUUCUUCGAACUGCUUCUCUAACCGAACUAGCUCCACCGCUUUGUUACCGUUUUUGAGCAAAUCCCAAGCGUCUUUUGCCGAAGAGGCAGAGAGAGUCUUCCUGAAGGCAGAGUUCGGAAGCGAUGAUUGAAUUACCUGAAGCGCUUUGGUGUCUUUCACCACGAGAUCUCUCCAUUUCGAGAGUUCUUCGGGUUGAAUCGUCGCUGAUAGCUUUGGAUUUUUUGAUGGAUCCGGUGGGACUCCGUUUUCGACGACCUCCCAAAGUCCUUUCCGCAUCAGUGUGGUUUUGGUGGAUGGAGCCCAGGUUUCGAAGUUCAGUUCGCCGGAGAUCUUCUUCGUCGAUGCCGCCAUAGCAGUUAGGGUUUUGUAAACUUUGGAGAGAGUGAAUAGACAAACUAUUAGCGAAAGACUUUCUAUUUUAUAUUGAGUGGGCAUUUACAUUGUAACCGUAGACCCUAACUUUCAUUUUGAAAUCCAAUGAAACGUUUCAAAUUUCGAAAACGGUUUUGGUUCAGUUUUAACGUAGUUGGAGAACUUGAGUGUGUUUGGUCAAGCGUUCCGGUUUGGGUCGGUUCGAAGAGAUGUCUUGUUAAUUAAUAAUCGUCGGUUCGAAGAGAUGUCUUGUUAAUUAAUCAAUACUAUUAAAACAGAAACAUGCCCCAUUGAUAAUAGUUGAGUCCAAUUAAAAAAAAUAUACAUCAUCUACAUAAAACUGCUUAUAUCACUUUAUCAAUACUAUUAAAUUUUCACGGCAGUUCUAGCAAUUCUAAAAUCCUACUUUUCAGGAAAAUUUGAUUGCCACUUUUUAAAUAAAACGUAAACAACAAUAACAAAGCAGUUCCAUAACCACUAAUGUCCUAUUUUUAAGGACUACAAACAUAUAAAACUUCUAUUUUUCAAUUAAAAAAUCUAUUCUACUAAACUCAAUUAAGAAUUUUACGUAACCACCUUACACAACCAAUUAAACUCCUAUUAUAAAGGCAACAAAUUUUAUAAAUGACAACAAAUUUCGUGAAAUAUAUAUACAACUCCUAUAUCUAACUCAUUAUCCUGAAAUAUAUGUACUCCUGUGACCCCAAAAUUUAAAAUCAACAAACUUCCAUAUCUAACCAAAAUCCAAAUUGUCACUAUUUAUUUAAAAAUUUUAUUUUUCUAGAUAGUUUUUUUAUAAGAAAAUUAAAUUAUUUAAUCCAUCUAUUCUAUUAAAUUAGGAACAUGAUCAGUUGAUAUUAUUAUGGAAGUAUUAUUUAUAAAAAUAUAUUCUACGGGUUUUAGUUUAACGGGUUUUAAAUAGGUUAUUCGAUUAAAAAUAUUUGUUAAAUGUUAUUAAAAUAUAUCUAUUAUAUUUUAAUUAUUAUAAAAUUUUAUAAUAAAAACAAUUUCAAUAAAUUUUCAAAAAUUAAAAUUAUAACUUUCUAAAUAUAAAUUUUAUAUUUAUUAUAAUUUUAUGAUUUUUGAUAUUUUUAUAAUUAUAUUAAAUGUAAAUAUUGUUAAUUUAUUAUUUGACUGUUACCACAUUUGGUAGUUAACCAGUCAUAAGUCACCCGCAAACGCACCAAUUUUUAACCGCAGUACCAAUCGUACAAAUCUCUUAAAACCGCUAGAAACCGCAACCGUCCGCAUCCACAAACUCCCACAACCGCAACCGCAACCGCUGCGUUUGAACCAAUUAAGCCAAUUAAGACGUUGUCGCGAUUUUUAACAAUUCACGUGGCCCUGGAUCAAAAUUUACAAAAUUCAUAUUUAACGUCAUGGCAAAUUAUUAUGUAUAAUUAUAACAUUAUUAUAAUUAUACAUGAAAUAAAAAAAAUGAAAACCAUAUAAUUUUAACGAUAGCACAUGUAGAGUAUCCAACAUCACAAAUUCAAUCAAAUUAUCAAAACCUCUUACUAAUAGUAAUUAAAAAUUUAACACAUAUGAUUACAGAAAAAUACAAAUAUCAUUACAAAGAAAAAUAUGAGACAGAAAAUUAAUAUUUUACAAUAAAAUAAAACAAAAAAUAUACCCGCCCUUUUAAGGGUGGGUCAAAAUCUAGUAAUCCGAUUAAAAUUAAAUACAGCUCUUGAACCUGGCUAACAUGGAGUUUUGUAUCGGUUUGGAUGUAACUAGUAAAGUUAUUUUUUAUUUUUAUUUUUUUGUCAACACUAGUCCGAGUUAUUCAUGUGGCAAUCCAAUGAAACUAAGCCUGGUUCAAUUAUCGGAUUGAUCCUGUUAUGUGAUUUAACCGAAAAUUUCACGCGAGCUACUAUGGUCAACAAGAUUUUUUGAUGGUUUUGACUUGUGAUUUACAACUAAUUAACCACGCCAUGAAUAUGCGAUGCAUUUGAAUUAUUGAUUAAGCAGUCGUUGAGUUUUGAUCCAACACAUCUACAAACUUGGUUUACUCCAAAAGAUCUAAUAUUAUUAUAUAACUAAUGAUGUCUAGGAAACAGUCACAAGACUCACUAACAUACACGGGAGUGAUCCAAAAUGUUUUUAAAAAUAGAUUGUGCCGCUAAAUUAUGAGACCGGACUAACCCAUUACCGCAGCACUCAUGUUCGCGUAGCCUUCUUAGUACAAACAAGCUAUAAAAACUAAAUAAACCAAACCACACCCACCCUAGUACUAAGAGUCUUGUGUCAAACCCAUUCAUACUGGAGAUGAACUACAAGUUGACAUUACUUCUAAUUACCUGCAAACGCAUAGAGAACUCUCUCUAAUCCCACCUUAUUUCGCCAAAAAAAUUACCAGUUCAAUCCUUCAAAAUGCAGUUGUAUGUUCCCAUUUCAGCAACAUGGCCGCUCCAGUACUCGAGCUGGCCAACUCUUGAAAGAGGAAUUCAAGAAGACUACUAAUAAGCCAUUAGCGAAGUCCAGAUCAAUUAGUUUAUUUAAAUUAAAAACUAACAAAGCUAAAACUAAGUAAGAGUGGUUAAGAGUUGUUAGUGCAAGGUAAGUUGUUGAACUUUGCUUGUAAAACCAGACUGGUCUAGUAUCUAGAGGUAUUGUGGUCUAGGGAUAGUUGUUAAAAUCUAGAGGUCUAAAUGUCACUGUGUAGUAAGCAACAAAUCUACUAUAAGAGAGUGUAAGAUAUGAGUCUCUCUAAAUCUACUUAUCAAACCGAGAUUCAAAGGGUAGGAAGAGUUCAACACUUUAGACAAAUAAGAAAGUUCGACAAUAUAAAGACAUAGCUCAUAAGAUAAUAAUCAAAAGAUUAUCUAUCUAUCUAUCUAUAUAUAUAAAGGAGAGAGACAAUAUAUAAAGGAGAGUUGUCUCUCUCCUUAGGCUAUCCAGCUCAGCAUAUACCAUGGGGCUUUUGUUAACACGUGGCAUUUCUUCUCUUUAAUUGUGAUUGUUGACGAAUGAGCUUCUAAUUCUUUAAUAACAGGCCCAAGUUAAACAUAUCUUUUAUCGUCACUUCCACUCUGCACCUUGCCGACAAAAGUUUCAGGUUUUGUGUUCGUCGAUCGCAUUUCCUUCUUCUCCAUUUCCUUCUUCUCCGUAACGUCUCAUUGAUUUUACUUGGUACCGAGCUUAUGCUAAUUAACCCACUCAUCCACUGUCCAGCAUUCAAUCCCCCUCAUCGAAUUCCAAAGUAACCAUCUGGUCAGCAAAGCUUCGACGAAAUCUAAGCAAAUUCUCUGUUAACUUGAGUCAACUCAGAGAUCAUGGAAGGAUCUCUAUCUCUGGUGCUUGCUUUAAUGCUGGACGAGGCAUCAUCCCCGUUCUACAGGUAUGUAUAGCUCUCUUUGCUGUGUCAUUUCACUACAUACCAAUCUUUGUGUGAUGUUAAUUUGUUUUUUGUCUGCAUAUUAAAGGAACAAACAUACUACAAGACCCUUCAUGGAACUUGCAUAACUAAAGCUCUUAAAAAGCCUAAGCCCCGCAAAUUUGGAAUCUUCGAUGUUGGUACCGAGAAAGGUAUGCAACUAGAUUCUUGGCAACUACUAACGGAAAAAGAGGGCGAAUGAAUUUUAGAGAAAGUUGUGUGUUUUUUUGUCGUGUGAGCAGGUAGGUCGGUGAAGGAGAUCGUUGAAGUCAGUCUUGCAAGAACCAUGAGAAGGAGUUUAACUGGAGCAAGAGUUCCUUAUGCUUUGAAUUUCUCGAUGUUAACAGAAAAUCAUCAUUACAUCCAGCAGCCCCACUUCAAGACUCACUUAUCCGAAGGCUUUAGCUUCAAAAACCCAUGUGGUAUGGUCCACCAAAGGUUGUUAUUUUUAUAUGAUUGCAACUUGGCUUAAACUAUAAAAAUAUCCUUGUUUCUACGAGUAUAUCCAAUUUCAAUCAUAUGAUUUCAACUUAUUUUUUUGGCUUACCUCCUUUGCAGGGCCUUACAUGGAAGAAAAACGUAUAUCUUCCUGGUGGAUGGUGGACUUAGGCGAAGAUCACCAGGUCUCCUCCAUUACUUCUCUUUUUAUCACAUCAUUUGUUUUCGUAAAUACACAUGCAGUCCAAGAACUUCAUAACCUGAGUAUCAGAAAACUUAUUUCGUUUUUAGUUUGAUAUCUAAGACCCUAACCAGCUGAGUAUUGUGGGAUGCAGCUUAUGUGCAGCUACUACACUUUCAGACGAUGGGUCAAGAGCAUACGCUAGGUCCUGGAAGUUUCAGGUAUCUUAUCUAUAUGUUUAACCCUAGACUUUAUGUCUUAUUAAGAUAAGCACCUUAGGAAGAUUAUGUGUGUCUUGAUGGGUAUGAAGCAAUCAAUGGAUGGGAAAAGAUGGACGGACUUGAGAACUCUACGGUUACUUGGAACUCUAGGGUUACUUCCGUUGAAAACUACACUGCUAUGAAAUGGCCUGUUGACUGUCUCCACUACACACGUGUGCCUUUCGAUUACCAUAUCUAGACACAGUGAAGGAAAGUUUCCAAGUAUGGCUUUUUACUUCUAUCUCUUGUGCUCAGUGAACUGUCUUUGUAAUCUUACUUGAACAUGACAUGGUGUGUUUCCAAGCAGGAGAAAACAUUUAUAGAGCAGGUGGUAGCAGAUGAAAGCGAUAUGGAAGGUGUUCCACCAGCUUGCUCGAGGAUACUGAACUGGCAUCUUCACUUGGCUGCCCUAGAUGUCCCUUAUCCACAAGGGUGGGUGAUCCAAAAUAUCAAAUAUGUUAUAACUGUGAGAUAGUUCCUAGAUACAACUUUUGACUGGUAAAGAUUUAUAGGGUUCAUGAACUUUUGAAGUCUCAGGUGUUCAGGAACUUAUAAGCAAAAAGUGAAGUUCAAGACUGUGAAAAUUUGGUGUAUAUAGUAUGAGAUGGUAUAAUCUUCUGUGGUAGCAGAUGAAAGCGAUAUGGAAGGUGUUCCACCAGCUUGCUCGAGGAUACUGAACUGGCAUCUUCACUUGGCUGCCCUAGAUGUCCCUUAUCCACAAGGGUGGGUGAUCCAAAAUAUCAAAUAUGUUAUAACUGUGAGAUAGUUCCUAGAUACAACUUUUGACUGGUAAAGAUUUAUAGGGUUCAUGAACUUUUGAAGUCUCAGGUGUUCAGGAACUUAUAAGCAAAAAGUGAAGUUCAAGACUGUGAAAAUUUGGUGUAUAUAGUAUGAGAUGGUAUAAUCUUCUCUUUGGACAUUAUUUCAAUACACGGUCUGAGUCUAGACCACAAUGAACAAAGUAAUGAAUCCUUCACAAUCACUGCAUAACUGUUCAUAUUCUGUGUCUAGAAACGGUUACAAGUAUUUUCGAAGUGAAUGGUCUUUCAAGAUUUGAUUCUAGGCUGGUUUAGUAUGCAAUCUAGCAGGGUGAUAAGCCUUUGGAAUAUGUUUAUUUAUGUGUGUUUGUGUUUUGUUAGUGAAAUAAUUAGGUUAUUGACUUAUUGAUUGAUUCGUUGAAAUCAUCUUUUGUUAUUUUUUUUUUACUUAUGUGAUAUUGGUCGAGAGUUUCUCAAAAAUUUUGUUUCUCGAGUUGUUGGAAUGGUGAUUAACACAAUGGGAUGGAUCUUAGGUGAGAGUUAAAUGAUAAUUUGCAUUUAUAAACUGAUUUUCAUAGCUUUUUUAAAUCUCUUUUCAACCAAAUGAAAUUUUAGAAUUUAAUUUUCUUCUUCGCUAUAAAUCAAAACACUAUACGAACUCCCACCUAUAUAUCACUUCAAUUUCUUUUUUUUUUUGGCUUGCUUACUGAUAAACCUGUUGGACCAAAGCUUUACUUUAAAAAAAAAUAUAGAAGUUAUCAUUUAUUAGAUAUUUCUUAGGCGAACUCAGAUAGCUUCGGAAAUGAUUGUAUAAACUCAGCUCCGCAUCGAUAAAUUAGUUUACAAAUAAACACAAGCAGCUCCAAUAAAAAAAAUGAAUUUUAAAACUCUUACUUCUUAGUUAACAAACAAGAAAGAACAUGAUUUUUGAAAACCAAAAUAGAGCCACCAAAUUUAUUAGAACGAGAACCUAUCUUCUGAUUUCUUGAUGAUCAAUCAAAUAAAUUGUCUAUCAAUUUGACUCGGUCGUUUUAAACACAUUGAAAAGUACACAAUAAAAAAAAUGAAUUUUAAAACUCUUACUUCUUAGUUAACAAACAAGAAAGAACAUGAUUUCUGAAAACCAAAAUGGAGCCACCAAAUUUAUUAGAACGAGAACCUAUCUUCUGAUUUCUUGAUGAUCAAGCAAAUAAAUUGUCUAUCAAUUUGACUCGGUCAUUUCAAACACAUUGAAAAGUAACAUAAUCUAUUUGGUAAGAAAUUAUACAUCAAUUGUCAUUUAAGUGAAAUGCUUAACGUCUAUAAAGAAACCGUUUCAUCCUAAACCACAAUGAACAAAGUAAUGAAUCCUUCACAAUCACUGCAUAACUGUUCAUAUUCUGUGUCUAGAAACGGUUACAAGUAUUUUCGAAGUGAAUGGUCUUUCAAGAUUUGAUUCUAGGCUGGUUUAGUAUGCAAUCUAGCAGGGUGAUAAGCCUUUGGAAUAUGUUUAUUUAUGUGUGUUUGUGUUUUGUUAGUGAAAUAAUUAGGUUAUUGACUUAUUGAUUGAUUCGUUGAAAUCAUCUUUUGUUAUUUUUUUUUUACUUAUGUGAUAUUGGUCGAGAGUUUCUCAAAAAUUUUGUUUCUCGAGUUGUUGGAAUGGUGAUUAACACAAUGGGAUGGAUCUUAGGUGAGAGUUAAAUGAUAAUUUGCAUUUAUAAACUGAUUUUCAUAGCUUUUUUAAAUCUCUUUUCAACCAAAUGAAAUUUUAGAAUUUAAUUUUCUUCUUCGCUAUAAAUCAAAACACUAUACGAACUCCCACCUAUAUAUCACUUCAAUUUCUUUUUUUUUUGGCUUGCUUACUGAUAAACCUGUUGGACCAAAGCUUUACUUUAAAAAAAAAUAUAGAAGUUAUCAUUUAUUAGAUAUUUCUUAGGCGAACUCAGAUAGCUUCGGAAAUGAUUGUAUAAACUCAGCUCCGCAUCGAUAAAUUAGUUUACAAAUAAACACAAGCAGCUCCAAUAAAAAAAAUGAAUUUUAAAACUCUUACUUCUUAGUUAACAAACAAGAAAGAACAUGAUUUUUGAAAACCAAAAUAGAGCCACCAAAUUUAUUAGAACGAGAACCUAUCUUCUGAUUUCUUGAUGAUCAAUCAAAUAAAUUGUCUAUCAAUUUGACUCGGUCGUUUUAAACACAUUGAAAAGUACACAAUAAAAAAAAUGAAUUUUAAAACUCUUACUUCUUAGUUAACAAACAAGAAAGAACAUGAUUUCUGAAAACCAAAAUGGAGCCACCAAAUUUAUUAGAACGAGAACCUAUCUUCUGAUUUCUUGAUGAUCAAGCAAAUAAAUUGUCUAUCAAUUUGACUCGGUCAUUUCAAACACAUUGAAAAGUAACAUAAUCUAUUUGGUAAGAAAUUAUACAUCAAUUGUCAUUUAAGUGAAAUGCAUAACGUCUAUAAAGAAACCGUUUCAUCCUAAACGGAUCUCCUACAAAAAUGUCUGGUUUAAUAACAUAUUGGUUGAGUUGAUCGGAAGUCAGCCUUACUGCUCAACUUAAAGAAGAGACGCACAAAUAUUAUGCAACUUACUGAUAUAGGGCAGAUUUCAUUACACAAAUACGAAAUAUGGUAAACCAAUAAAAUAACAUCCACCUCCAAAUGGAUAAUAAGCCAAACUUAGCCCAAAUAAAUAAAUAUUUUUCGUGCCCUAUCACUCUUUCAUCAGUCACCCCAAACGCCUAAAAUCUAAGCUCCAAAUCCACAUGCAAUUAGCUUCUACAUUAAGAAAAAUUAAAACAAUUACCAUUAACCAGUAUACAAUAGCAAUAACUGGAGCAAACUAAAGAAAAUUUUUAAAGAUAUAAAUGCUUACCCUUCUUCGCCACAUGCUAUCCGUCUUCUUCAUUACACACUUAAAUAGCACGAGAAACUAUCAUUUUCUCCUCGGCAUAAAACUAUAGAAGUACACAUCUAUUGACCUAAAAUAAACCUAUAGUUAUCCCACUAUAAUAAAUUUACAGUUCAAAAAUCAGCAUAUACUGGUGAUUCAAGGAUUAUGAACAAUUUUGAAUUCAUUAGAGAAUAAAACGUACGAACCCGGCGCGUAGCGCCGGAAUACCACUAGUUGAUUAUAAAACACACCAAGAAUAAAAGUUGAGUAACUUAGAAUUGACAGAAGGAUUGACUCAAUAUUAAUAGAAAAUUCAACCCUAAAAGGUGAAUUUGUCCACCUUACUUCAUAUUAUCAAGUCUACUAUCUUUUUUUUGAACAACAUUAUCAAGUCUACUAUCAAACUUGAAGAUAACCUUAGCAGAGAGAUUACAUUCAAACAACCUCAAACCGCAAGAAAAAACCUAUAUUUUCAGCCCACUUGGCUUCACCAAACACUAGUCCAGUCACUCGAUCUCUUAUAGUAACUAACUCUGUUCCCAUCUUAACAUCAUAGCCGUUCCUACUCAACUGAACAGCACUUAACGCGUUUACCACAAUACCUGGAACGUAAAGCACAUCCUUGAUCGUCUUCACCUUCCCUUCCUUUGUAACAACCCUUACAUCUCCUGUUCCUUGUGCCAUGACACUACUUCCGUUGAUGAAUGUAACCCUAGCUUUCCGCGUUCUGUCUAGAGCGGUGAAAUACUUCUCGUGCGGAGUCAUAUGGUUCGUCGUGGUGGCGUAUACCAUCCACAUAUUCGCAUCAUAUGUCACAUCAGUACGACAGAAUGCAUAGGAAACAUGCUCUGGCACUUGUUCUAGCAUCUCCCAGAGUUCCUUGGCCGAAGUAGCCGAGAAAGUCUUCCUGAAAAGUGAAUCCGGGAGAGAAGACUGUAAUAUCUGAAGGGCCUUCAUGUCUUGUCUCACAAGUUCUCUCCAUCUGCAAAGCUCUUCGACUUCAAGAGUCGCUGCUAGGUCUGGAUUCUUCGAUGGAUCAGUUGGUAUUCCGGUCUCGACGACAUCCCAAAGUCCCUGUUCCGUUAGUUUGGUUUUCAUCAUCGCCGACCAGAUUUCAAAGUUUAAGUCAUCGGAAACAAGUUCGCGUAGGGUUGGUGUUGUCGCCGCAGCCAUAGUCGCUUUCUCUCGGUUUGUUACUGGUUUUAAGAGACACUUUGUAUUUAUAUAUUGGGAGAUCGAGAAGAAUUUGGAAAGACAAAUAAAAAUAGGAAAAGUACUAUAUUGCAUAAUAAAGUUUGAUUUGGGCACUUGUGUAUUUAUAUAAUGGGAGAUCGAGAAGAAUUUGGAAAGACAACUAAAAAUAGGAAAAGUACUAUUGCAUUAUAAAGUUUGAUUUGGGCACUUGUGUAUAGAUUUCAUUUUUAUAUUGAUCAAAAAUUAUUUUAUAAAAAAAGAAUAUUAUACUUGCUGUGUAAUUUUAUCUUUUAUUGUCACUUAGAAUAGUUUGUUCAUGUCUUCUGACUUACUCGAAAUUAUACAGUUAUACAAUUUCAAUGGGUUUCUUUCAUAUAGAUCAAAAUUUAUUUUAUAUAAAAAAAUGAUAUUUCAAUAAACAAAAUUCGGUUUAGUCGGGUUUGGUUUAAAUGGGUUGAUCGGAUUAAGUGAUUGAACCCUUCCCUAUACUACACGCAAGCUUCUCUCCAAUGAUGAUAAACAAGAGUUUUUCUGAUUGUUUGAACUUGUGAUUCGAACUAACACCAAAAAGUGUUUGGAAACUAGAUAAAAAGCAAGCCGUCAGGGGUUUAAAAGACAACACAGACUGAUACAUAGUGCAGUAGCAAUAAAACGACCAAACUGAAAACAUGAUAACACAAACCAAAAGAAAAAAGAAAAAAACAGCACACACGUCCACCUUCCGAGUUACGUCUACUGCCAAAGUGAAAAGAUCUGAUAAUUAAGAGGUGAGGUUACCUUCAAUCACCUUCAAACGCAGAGCUGGUCCCCUCUCGUCCCUCACAGUCUCUCCAAACACUGCUCCAGUCCGGUCGAGAAAAGUGCACUUGCCUGGUGGCGUGAAUGCUGAAUAGCCUCUUGCUAUCAUCUGAUCAAGACUCAACACGUUUCUGUUCAACCCAGGAACGAAAAGCACAUUCUUAAUCGUCUUCUUCUUCCCAUCCUUCAUCAUAAUCUUCACAUCUCCUCUUCCUUCAACCCUGAGAAACUUUCCAUCAGCCAAUCCAACCUUAGCUUUAUGUGUUCUGUCCAAAGCGGUAAAGUACUUCUCAUACGGAGUCAUAUGAUUCGUAGUACCAUCGGGGUAUAUCAUCCAUACAUCCUCAUCAUAAGUGCCAUUGCCUAAUGCUUCCUCUGCUAACAUUAAGUACUCAACUUCAACUUCUUCCAGAGAUUCCUUAACCACUUGCUCCUGAUUCUUUCUCUUGCAGUCUCUCGCAAAGUGCCCUCGUUCUCCACACUGAAAGCACUUACCACGCCUCGAACUCCCCUUUCUAGGGUUGUAAUAACAAUCUUCCUCGUUGUGAUUCCUCUUCUUGCACAGACCACACCACUUACCAGGCCUCGAGUCAAGACUCAUACCCUUCAUCAUCAGAACGCAAGCUUCCUCCGCGACAUCAUCACAUAUAUCGAAAAACUCAGGAAGACUUUCAAGAGGCAUGUUCUCCAUAAUCUCCGCGUUCUCUUCCAAACACGGAGCCACGAUCGUAUACGGCAUCUUGAGCGAACUCAGAACCUUCUUGUUAACCUCGUACUUGGAUUUCAGCCUGUUCAAACGACGCAUCUCUUCGAGGAUCACCGUGACUCUACCUACGUAGGAUUCAAUCGUUUCUCCUUCCUUCAUGCUGAGUUCUUCGAACCGCUUCUCUAACCUAACCAGUUCCACCGCUUUGUUUCCGUUUUUGAGCAGAUCCCAAGCGUCCUUGGCGCAAGAAGCGGAGAGAGUCUUCCUGAAGGCAGAGUUCGGAAGAGAUGAUUGCAGUACCUGAAGCGCUUUGGUGUCUUUCACCACGAGAUCUCUCCAUUUGGAGAGUUCUUCGGGUUGAAUCGUCGCUGAUAGCUUUGGAUUUUUUGAUGGAUCUGGCGGGACUCCGUUUUCGACGACAUCCCAGAGUCCUUUCUGGAUCAGUUUGGUUCUCGUGGCUGGAGCCCAGGUUUCAAAGUUCAGUUCGUCGGAGAUCUUCUUCUUCGAUGACGCCAUAGCCGUAACAGUUAGGGUUCUUUUAAAACUUUUUUAUUAGCGGA